rnacentral:misc_RNA from 1 species
UGGCUCUCGCAUCGAUGAAGAACGCAGCGAAAUGCGAUAAGUAAUGUGAAUUGCAGAAUUCAGUGAAUCAUCGAAUCUUUGAACGCACCUUGCGCUCUUUGGUAUUCCGAAGAGCAUGCCUGUUUGAGUGUCGUGAAAUUCUCAAUCCUAUUCUUUCUUAAUUGAGAGGAUUUGGAUUGGAUUUGGGGAUUGCUGGUUGAUUGUGAUCGGCUUCCCUUGAAUGCAUUAGCUGGAGUAUGACUUUGCAGCAUAUAUGCGGUGUGAUAAUGUCUUCACUGUGUAGCUCUAAGUCGUCUGGCUUCUAACCGUCUUAGGACAAUUUUGACAAUCAGACCUCAAAUCAGGUAGGACUACCCGCUGA